CUUCUAAAGAGUUUGAACCUACUGAAGAACUAUCUUGACUGUCUUGAUGAGGGAGCUGAAGAAAUCCUUCACUGGAGUCUGAGCGGAUUUUAAUGUCAUUGAAUACAGAGAACAAAUCUCAUUCACUUUGGUAUCGGCUGGAGUCAACAAACAUUUAAAAAUCAUUUACUGCGUCUGAUUUUGGAUGAGGAAAUUAACUGAGAAAGAAGAUACAAGACCUGCCAAAUUCUUUUUUUUUGUUUUGUUUGAGACAGAGUCUCA
rnacentral:lncRNA from 1 species